UACGUAGCAGCGAGCGUUGUUCGGAGUUACUGGGCGUAAAGGGUGUGUAGGCGGUUAUUUAAGUUUGGUGUGAAAUCUCCCGCUCAACCGGGAGGGUGCGCCGAAUACUGAAUGACUUGGAGUGCGGGAGAGGUGAGUGGAAUUCCUGGUGUAGCGGUGAAAUGCGUAGAGAUGUGGAGGAACACCAGUGGCGAAGGCGACUCUUUGGCCUGUAACUGACGCUGAGGCGCGAAAGCGUGGGGAGCAAACAGG
rnacentral:rRNA from 1 species